AGAACGAACGCUGGCGGCAUGCCUAACACAUGCAAGUCGAACGAGACCUUCGGGUCUAGUGGCGCACGGGUGCGUAACGCGUGGGAAUCUGCCCUUGGGUUCGGAAUAACAGCGAGAAAUUGCUGCUAAUACCGGAUGAUGACGUAAGUCCAAAGAUUUAUCGCCCAAGGAUGAGCCCGCGUAGGAUUAGCUUGUUGGUGAGGUAAGAGCUCACCAAGGCGACGAUCCUUAGCUGGUCUGAGAGGAUGAUCAGCCACACUGGGACUGAGACACGGCCCAGACUCCUACGGGAGGCAGCAGUGGGGAAUAGUUGGACAAGUGGACGAAAGCCUGAUCAAGCAA
rnacentral:rRNA from 1 species